rnacentral:rRNA from 1 species
UCGACGCGUCCCGGUUGAUGAAGUUGAGUGCUUGCACUUGAUUGAUUCAACUUGGUGACGAGUGGCGAACUGGUGAGUAACACGUGGGUAACCUGCCCCGAAGCGGGGGAUAACAUUUGGAAACAGGUGCUAAUACCGCAUAACAACCAAAACCUCCUGGUUUUGGUUUAAAAGACGGCUCCGGCUGUCACUUUGGGAUGGACCCGCGGCGUAUUAGCUAGUUGGUGAGGUAACGGCUCACCAAGGCAAUGAUACGUAGCCGACCUGAGAGGGUAAUCGGCCACAUUGGGACUGAGACACGGCCCAAACUCCUACGGGAGGCAGCAGUAGGGAAUCUUCCACAAUGGACGCAAGUCUGAUGGAGCAACGCCGCGUGAGUGAUGAAGGGUUUCGGCUCGUAAAACUCUGUUGUUGGAGAAGAACGGGUGUCAGAGUAACUGUUGACAUCGUGACGGUAUCCAACCAGAAAGCCACGGCUAACUACGUGCCAGCAGCCGCGGUAAUACGUAGGUGGCAAGCGUUGUCCGGAUUUAUUGGGCGUAAAGCGAGCGCAGGCGGUUUUUUAGGUCUGAUGUGAAAGCCUUCGGCUUAACCGGAGAA